GACGUAGGGCGCAAGCGUUGUCCGGAUUUAUUGGGCGUAAAGAGCUCGUAGGCGGCUUGUUGCGUCGACCGUGAAAACCCGUGGCUCAACCCCGGGACUGCGUCCGAGUACUUCCGAGCUGGAGGUAGGUAGGGGAGAUCGGAAUUCCUGGUGUAGCGGUGAAAUGCGCAGAUAUCAGGAGGAACACCGGUGGCGAAGGCGGAUCUCUGGGCCUUACCUGACGCUGAGGCGCGAAAGCUAGGGGAGCGAACAGG
rnacentral:rRNA from 1 species